UGGGGAAUAUUGGACAAUGGGCGCAAGCCUGUUCCAGCCAUGCCGCGUGAGUGAUGAAGGCCCUAGGGUUGUAAAGCUCUUUCACCGGUGAAGAUAAUGACGGUAACCGGAGAAGAAGCCCCGGCUAACUUCGUGCCAGCAGCCGCGGUAAUACGAAGGGGGCUAGCGUUGUUCGGAUUUACUGGGCGUAAAGCGCACGUAGGCGGACUAUUAAGUCAGGGGUGAAAUCCCGGGGCUCAACCCCGGAACUGCCUUUGAUACUGGUAGUCUUGAGUUCGAGAGAGGUGAGUGGAAUUCCGAGUGUAGUGGUGAAAUUCGUAGAUAUUCGGAGGAACACCAGUGGCGAAGGCGGCUCACUGGCUCGAUACUGACGCUGAGGUGCGAAAGCGUGGGGAGCAAACAGG
rnacentral:rRNA from 1 species